AUAAAAUGGUAACACAGUUUAUAAAAUUUAAGGAUUUUCUAGUUAUGCAUGGAUAAUAACUCUAAAGAUUUGACAAUUGUUUAAAUAUAUAGUGUUAGGCUUAUAAAAGCUAGUAAACCAGGUCUUUGUCAUUUCCUUCUACAGAAAGAAAUGUGAAUGUGUUUGAUGCAUUCUUUCCUGAAAAUUAAAGUAACAAAAAAAUUCCACUUAGUGAGUGGCCACAGAAGUUAUGUGCUUGAGAAUCCAGGAUAUGCUGGGGAGGAGUGGAGCUGCUUGCUGCCAUGUGUCCCCUGACCUGAAGAACAAGGAUGGUGCCCUUAAAAUGGAUGGUGUGACAAUGCCAGUGUGGUGGCCUAGCUGUCACCAGCCAGUGAGCAGAAAUGUGAACCUGUCCUGGCCCUCUUCUGCCAUGGACCCUGCUACCUCCUGUACCAGCUGACUACUGACUCUCCCUUCUUCAGGGAGCAGCUUGGUGGCACCCUGGACCUGACCCUGACCCAAGCCUGCUUCUAGGAAAAGCUAUCAGCUCCAUACAGCCCCACCAGGGAUGUGGGCCACAUGUUCACGCACUUUUAACAAGCUGCCUGAGAACAAGGCAGAUGGGCAGUCCAUCAUCAGCCAGCAGCCCAUGUUUGAAUCAUACACAGGAGACCCUCGGUAACAAAGUCUCUGCCGUGUUGGUGGGGCCCCCGAUGCUGAGCUGGCCUGUGUACCCAGAAGCUGUCUGACGGUGCUGGUGAUGGUCCCUGAAGCUGGGGCCUCUGAUGGCCUGGCUGAUCUGCCUCUGAUCUACAUCCCAUCACCCAAUCCUUACCUCCUAGUGGCCUGACUCCCAUUCCCUGGUGGCCCUAUUCCCCAGUCCCUCAUAAAAAGGUUUUUACUUCUGUGAAUGUAAUAAAAACUUCACCAGUUUUUAAAAAUGAAUAAGACAGCCAUGAACUCAAUAAUAUGACUUAAUAAGGCAAGUAUAAUCCCAAACUAGUAAGCAUCAAAUCAUUUGUUGACCUUUUGAAUAUGCUACAUGACAUUUUAAUAGCAUAUAUUUCCGGCUGUAUUUUAUAGAUGCUAAUAUUUUUGUUCAUAUAUACUGAAUAAAUACCAGUGGAACAAUAAGAGAAAGAACCUAAAAUGAUGAGUCAUCUGCAGAUAGAAAAAUAAAUAUUUCCACCUAAGUUAAGUGUUUGCCAUUUUUCCUUUGAUUGUUUGCUUCCAAAUAAUCCUUAGUUUAGUUUUGUACACAUAACCACUAAGAUGAAGAAGUCAAGGUCUCUAACUUAUUUCAGCCAAUUCGCUAACAUGAGCGACUGUAUGUAGUUGAAAAUCGGAUUGUAUCUGAACUUCGGCUUGCAUGGUGUCACAGUGUAAAUAUGAAGUUUAGCACAAAGACUUGUGUAUUCGAGGGCUUGAUCUCCAAUGCAGCACUGUUCAGAGGUGGAACCCAGAGGGAUGACUGGAUCAUGAGGGAGCUGACCAUUAAUGAGUGCACAGCUAAUGUGCUGCUGGGAGGUGAGCUCAGCUAGAAUAAGCAGUUCUCUGGGCCCUGCCUUUCAAGGGUAUAUUUGGUCUGAGCCCUUUCCUCUUGGCCUAUUGCCCUCUUUGCCUCCUGUCUGUCAUAAGACAGGCUGAUCUGCUCCAUCACAUGUGAUGUUUCUGCCUCACCACAGGCCUAAAGCGAUGGAGCCAGAUGAGUGUGGACUGAAACGUCUGAAGCCACUAGCCAAAAUAAACCUUCCUGCUCUAAAUUGUUUUUCUCAGAGAUUUGUUCACAAAGAUAAAAACUGACUACCACACAUGUUAUUUUGUAUUGUUAAGUUUAUGUAUGUUUAUCUACCACAUGUUUUGUUAUAAAAUAAUUUAAAAGAAUUUUCCAGUAAAAAUAACAUUUCUCC
ensembl:lincRNA